UGGAGAAGCCUAAUUAAAGUGACUAAACGGUCACGUGGAAUUUGACUAUCUUUAUUGAUCCGUGACCGCCGGUGUUGCUGUAAGUGGUCACUGCAACAGACCUAGCACUGCUGUUAUUUUUAUAGCAGAGCUCCUUAUAGCAGUAUAAAAGACCCUGGUCCUACUUUGUCUCUUUAGCAUGACAGUGAGUUCUACAACAGUGUAUUGGUCCUCUAAGGACCGUCUUUUCAAGUACUGUUUCCGAUUAUACAUUCAGUCAAAGGUCUGGGUUUAACAAUAAUGUGCCACAUUAUAAUGUGGUGAACAUGUCAUUUUUCUGUUGACUGGAUUGUGUUGUUUUCUAACAAAUGAUGAAUACCUUAAUUAUUGUGUAAUCAGAUACACAAUUACCUUGUGCUUGUAUUGCUUCCCAGCAGGUUUGACUGUUAGUUCUACUUUGACCCAAACACCCAGUGAGACCAACUACCAAUAGUCCCACUAAAUGUUUGACCUCUCCUUUGACCCCCAGUACAGCAGUGAAUCCUACAUCAGAAACAGCUGUGAGAUUAUGGCAGGGAGCAGGGUGUGGCUUCUGGAGGGGGCGUGUUCCUGAUGGGAUUGACAGCGUCUAUCUCUGGAGGAGGACCAAGAAGAACAAUUCUCAGAGACCUACAGCCAGACAGGAUGAUCACAGCCAAUGUGAUUUGGUGAUGGGAGCUGUGAGCUGUGCAGGCACGUUGGCCUUAAAGGAUUCUGGGAACUAUUCUUUCAUCCCACUGUACCGUCCACGUUACUGCC